rnacentral:rRNA from 1 species
AUUGAACGCUGGCGGCAGGCCUAACACAUGCAAGUCGAGCGAGCGGCGGACGGGUGAGUAAUGUAUGGGGACUGCCCGAUAGAGGGGGAUAACUCCUGGACACGGUAGCUAAUACCGCAUACUAUCGGAUAACCCAUAUGGGAUUAGCUAGUAGGUGAGGUACUGGCUCACCUAGGCGACGCUCCCUAGCUGGUCUGAGAGGAUGAUCAGGCACACUGGGACUGAGACACGGCCCAGAGUCCUACGGAGGCAGCAGUGGGGAAUAUGGCACAAUGGGCGAAAGCCUGAUGCAGCCAUGCCGCGUGUAUGAAGAAGGCCCUAGUGUUGUAAAGUACUUUCAGGCGGGAGGCGUUACCGACAGAAGAAGCACCGGCUAACUCCGUGCCAGCCGCCGCGGUAAUAC